rnacentral:rRNA from 1 species
UUAAAUUGAAGAGUUUGAUCAUGGCUCAGGUUGAACGCUGGCGGCAGGCCUAACACAUGCAAGNCGAACGGUAACAGGAAUCAGCUUGCUGAUUAGCUGACGAGUGGCGGACGGGUGAGUAAUGUCUGGGAAACUGCCUGAUGGAGGGGGAUAACUACUGGAAACGGUAGCUAAUACCGCAUAACGUCGCAAGACCAAAGAGGGGGACCUUCGGGCCUCUUGCCAUCGGAUGUGCCCAGAUGGGAUUAGCUAGUAGGUGGGGUAACGGCUCACCUAGGCGAUGAUCCCUAGCUGG